rnacentral:misc_RNA from 1 species
UAAAAAAUGAAGUCGAUUCCUUUCAUCCGUUAACAUUGAAACAGUCCGAUUUUUGCCGGCCUUACACUUCCAAAACAAAGACAAAGAAACCUUCUAUUUCAUAGACAAAUUAACCCUAUCAUAUCGUAGUAUAUAUAUAUAUAAACUUGUUACCCUUUAGCUUUUAGCAUUCUUUUCUAUUAAAUUAUGAAGAACGUUUCAAGAAACAAAUUUUUCCUGUGUUUCCGACCCGUUGUCGACAUGGAUCAACAAGUGCUUGACUCCAAUGCUCAUGUUAAUCACUCCAAGGAUCAGCCUUUAGCAUAUGCUGGCGUUGAAAACAAAAAGAAUGCGAAGCAUUUAAGGUCCAAAUCUUUGAUUUUGGAUUAUGGAUCCUCAACAAGUUUUGAAAAUUCAUUGAUUUUUGGUUCUCCGAGAAAGACAUUUUUCUCCCGAUCGAUCAAAGCUGUAUUUUUUUCAAUCUUCAUUGGUUAGUUUUAUCAAAUUUCUAUUACGCAUUCUGUUACAUUUGAAAAUCUUUUUGGUUUAAUGAUCAAAUAUAUGUAUAUAUGUGAAUUUA